rnacentral:rRNA from 1 species
AGAACGAACGCUGGCGGCAUGCCUAACACAUGCAAGUCGAACGCUUGCCGGGCUUCGGUUCGGCAGGAGUGGCGCACGGGUGAGUAGCGCGUGGGAACCUGCCCUGUUGUGGGGGAUAACCGAGGGAAACUUCGGCUAAUACCGCAUACGCCGGUUGUCUUGAAAGAGAUGGCCGGGAAAGAUUUAUCGCAGCAGGAGGGGCCCGCGUCGGAUUAGGUAGUUGGUAGGGUAACGGCCUACCAAGCCUUUGAUCCGUAGCUGGUCUGAGAGGAUGAUCAGCCACACUGGGACUGAGACACGGCCCAGACUCCUACGGGAGGCAGCAGUGGGGAAUAUUGGACAAUGGGCGCAAGCCUGAUCCAGCAAUGCCGCGUGAGUGAUGAAGGCCUUAGGGUUGUAAAGCUCUUUCGCCCGCGACGAUGAUGACGGUAGCGGGAGAGAAGCCCGGCUAACUUCGCGCCAGCAGCCGC